ensembl:lncRNA
GCCAGUGGUUAAACCCCAGCAGGAUAAGACUUUGUAAAGCCAUUCACCCAUAUGCCAGUACACACCAGAGCUAAGGAGUCCAACGGGGGAACGUGACCGCCCCUUCACCGUCUUUGUUUGUCAAGUGUUUGUCUAAGUAUGUAAAACAAUAACUGAACGAGACGGCUACAGUUCACCCCAAUGCUUGGGCUAUCUCCAUAGCAAGAGAGAGAAGGACCAGCGCUCACCAGGAACCCAGACGGACGCGUCGGAUAGGGGGUUGGGCGCGGUCCUGACCCAGCAGGUGGAGGGGUCGACCGCCCGGUGCUGUACCUGAGCCGGAAAUUAUCAGACCGGGAGGGUCGGUACAGCACGGUGGAGAAGGAGUGUCUCGCAAUCCGGUGGGCGGUUGGCGCCCUCCUGACUGGGGCGCGUUCACCCUCUACUCCGACCACGCCCCCCUCCAGUGGCUCCACCGCAUGAAGGACGUCAACGCGAGGAUCACCCGGUGGUACCUCGCGUUGCAACCCUUUAAUUUUCGGGUCGUGCACAGGCC